GUCUGUGUCAUUCUUGUGGUUUGCAACUAGUAGUCUGGCUCCAGUUGCAUAGUCACAAAAAUGAUCAUGGAC
rnacentral:pre_miRNA from 1 species